GUUUAGGGUUUAAAACCCUAAUGCUGGCUGAAAGGAAAAGUUUAGUUUAGGGUUAAAAACCCUAAUGCUGGCUGAAAGGAAAAAGUUUAGUUUAGGGUUUAAAACCCUACUGCUGACUAAAAGGAAAAUUCAGUUUAGGGUUUAAAACCCUAAUGCUGAUUGCAUGGAAAAGCUCAGUUUAGGGUUUAAAACCCUAAUGCUGGCUGAAAGGAAAAGUUCAGUUUAGGGUUUAAAACCCUAAUGCUGACUAAAGGAAAAAUUCAGUUUAGGGUUUAAAACCCUAAUGCUGAUUGCAUGGAAAAGCUCAGUUUAGGGUUUAAAACCCUAAUGCUGGCUGAAAGGAAAAAGUUUAGUUUAGGGUUUAAAACCCUACUGCUGACUAAAAGGAAAAUUCAGUUUAGGGUUUAAAACCCUAAUGUUGAUUGCAUGGAAAAGCUCAGUUUAGGGUUUAAAACCCUAAGGCUGGCUGAAAGGAAAAAGUUCAGUUUAGGGUUUAAAACCCUACUGCUGACUAAAAGGAAAAUUCAGUUUAGGGUUUAAAACCCUAAUGCUGAUUGCAUGGAAAAGCUCAGUUUAGGGUUUAAAACCCUAAUGCUGGCUGAAAGGAAAAAGUUCAGUUUAGGGUUUAAAACCCUAAUGCUGACUAAAAGGAAAAUUCAGUUUAGGGUUUAAAACCCUAAUGCUGAUUGCAUGGAAAAAGUUCAGUUUAGGGUUUAAAACCCUAAUGCUGACUAAAAGAGAAAGUUCAGUUUAGGGUUUAAAACCCUAAUGCUGACUAAAAGGAAAAUUCAGUUUAGGGUUUAAAACCCUAAUGCUGAUUGCAUGGAAAAGCUCAGUUUAGGGUUUAAAACCCUAAUGCUGGCUGAAAGGAAAAAGUUCAGUUUAGGGUUUAAAACCCUAAUGCUGGCUGAAAGGAAAAAGUUCAGUUUAGGGUUUAAAACCCUAAUGCUGACUAAAAGGAAAAAGUUCAGUUUAGGGUUUAAAACCCUAAUGCUGACUAAAAGGAAAAAGUUCAGUUUAGGGUUUAAAACCCUAAUGCUGACUAAAAGGAAAAUUCAGUUUAGGGUUUAAAACCCUAAUGCUGGCUGAAAGGAAAAGUUUAGUUUAGGGUUUAAAACCCUAAUGCUGGCUGAAAGGAAAAGUUUAGUUUAGGGUUUAAAACCCUAAUGCUGAUUGCAUGGAAAAGCUCAGUUUAGGGUUUAAAACCCUAAUACUGGCUGAAAGGAAAAAGUUCAGUUUAGGGUUUAAAACCCUACUGCUGACUAAAAGGAAAAUUCAGUUUAGGGUUUAAAACCCUAAUGCUGAUUGCAUGAAAAAGCUCAGUUUAGGGUUUAAAACCCUAAUGUUGGCUGAAAGGAAAAAGUUCAAUUUAGGGUUUAAAACCCUAAUGCUG
rnacentral:lncRNA from 1 species